AAGACUCCUUUCAGGAAUCAUUUCUUUAGUUCCUACUAGAGGAGCUUCUCUUAACAUGUGGAGCGCCGGAAACCACAAAGAGGAGGUGCAGCAUUCUGCCGUAAGUGUGAAGUGGAUUCUUGGUGUUGCUGUGCUGCAACUGCCAUUUGCUAAUGAUGACCUUGCUUUCCUUACUUAGAGUAAGACUAAGAGAUGGCAGUCAGCCUGAGCAGU
ensembl:snoRNA U3 Small nucleolar RNA U3